AUUGAUUGGUUAAGAGAAUGAAUGAAUGGUAUUCUUACUUGAUAUCUUGGGAGAUUGUGAACAGACCGGGUACAUAAAGAAUCCUACUGUGAACAUCACCUCAUACCGGAUGGGGUAUCGAGGAUUGGUAUUUUUGGCGCUCAUACCGGACGGAGUAUGGAGAUGGCCCGUUUCACUCUCAUACCGGACGUGGUAUUGAGGGAUGAU
rnacentral:lncRNA from 1 species